GGGUGCUUAGCUCAGUGGUAGAGCGUUGAGCUUUUAACUCAAUGGUCGGCAGUUCGAGCCUGCCAGCACCUA